CGGGGGGCCCCACCAUCUGGGGCGACUUGAGACACGGCCCAGACUCUACGGGAGGCAGCAGUGGGGAAUAUUGCACAAUGGGCGAAAGCCUGAUGCAGCGACGCCGCGUGAGGGAUGACGGCCUUCGGGUUGUAAACCUCUUUCAGCAGGGACGAAGCGCAAGUGACGGUACCUGCAGAAGAAGCACCGGCUAACUACGUGCCAGCAGCCGCGGUAAUACGUAGGGUGCAAGCGUUGUCCGGAAUUACUGGGCGUAAAGAGUUCGUAGGCGGUUUGUCGCGUCGUUUGUGAAAACCAGCGGCUCAACUGCUGGCUUGCAGGCGAUACGGGCAGACUUGAGUACUGCAGGGGAGACUGGAAUUCCUGGUGUAGCGGUGAAAUGCGCAGAUAUCAGGAGGAACACCGGUGGCGAAGGCGGGUCUCUGGGCAGUAACUGACGCUGAGGAACGAAAGCGUGGGUAGCGAACAGGAUUAGAUACCCUGGUAGUCCACGCCGUAAACGGUGGGCGCUAGGUGUGGGUUCCUUCCACGGAAUCCGUGCCGUAACUAACGCAUUAAGCGCCCCGCCUGGGGAGUACGGGUCAUAACUGUUUCCUGAGAAA
rnacentral:rRNA from 1 species